rnacentral:misc_RNA from 1 species
GUGAAUCAUCAAAUCUUUGAACGCAUAUUGCACCCUCUGGUAUUCUGGAUUGAAUGCCUGUUUGAGGGUAAUUAAAAAGAAUCUUUAACCCAUUUUUUUGGUUAUAGGUUAUGAGUUCUCCGCGUAUAUAGCGGUAGCUUGAAAUAAAUGGUCAAAUUUCAUUUUAGUCGAGACGCGUAAUACUAUUAUAUUGCUA